rnacentral:rRNA from 1 species
AUUGAACGCUGGCGGUAGGCCUAACACAUGCAAGUCGAACGGCAGCACAGUAAGAGCUUGCUCUUACGGGUGGCGAGUGGCGGACGGGUGAUGAAUACAUCGGAAUCUACUUUUUCUUGGGGGAUAACGUAGGGAAACUUACGCUAAUACCGCAUACGACCUACGUGUGAAAGCAGGGGAUCUUCGGACCUUGCGCGAUUGAAUGAGCCGAUGUCGGAUUAGCUAGUUGGCGGGGUAAAGGCCCACCAAGGCGACGAUCCGUAGCUGGUCUGAGAGGAUGAUCAGCCACACUGGAACUGAGACACGGUCCAGACUCCUACGGGAGGCAGCAGUGGGGAAUAUUGGACAAUGGGCGCAAGCCUGAUCCAGCCAUACCGCGUGGGUGAAGAAGGCCUUCGGGUUGUAAAGCCCUUUUGUUGGGAAAGAAAAGCAGCAGGUUAAUACCCCGCUGUUCUGACGGUACCAAAAGAAUAAGCACCGGCUAACUUCGUG